GAUGAACGCUGGCGGCGUGCCUAAUACAUGCAAGUCGAGCGAACAGACGAGGAGCUUGCUCCUCUGACGUUAGCGGCGGACGGGUGAGUAACACGUGGAUAACCUACAUAUAAGACUGGGAUAACUUCGGGAAACCGGAGCUAAUACCGGAUAAUAUAUUGAACCGCAUGGUUCAAUAGUGAAAGACGGUUUUGCUGUCACUUAUAGAUGGAUCCGCGCCGCAUUAGCUAGUUGGUAAGGUAACGGCUUACCAAGGCAACAAUGCGUAGCCGACCUGAGAGGGUGAUCGGCCACACUGGAACUGAGACACGGUCCAGACUCCUACGGGAGGCAGCAGUAGGGAAUCUUCCGCAAAGGGCGAAAGCCUGACGGAGCAACGCCGCGUGAGUGAUGAAGGUCUUCGGAUCGUAAAACUCUGUUAUUAGGGAAGAACAAAUGUGUAAGUAACUAUGCACGUCUUGACGGUACCUAAUCAGAAAGCCACGGCUAACUACGUG
rnacentral:rRNA from 1 species